UCAGGCCUAACACAUGCAAGUCGAACGAGAUUAUAGGGUAAGCUUGCUUACCUUAUAUGACAGUGGCGCACGGGUGCGUAACGCGUAUGCAAUCUACCUUAAUCAGGGGGAUAGCCUCUCGAAAGAGAGAUUAAUACCGCAUAACAUUAUGAUAUGGCAUCAUAUUAUAAUCAAACAUUUAUGGGAUUAAGAUGAGCAUGCGUGACAUUAGCUAGUUGGUGAGGUAACGGCUCACCAAGGCAACGAUGUCUAGGGGAUCUGAGAGGAUGACCCCCCACACUGGUACUGAGACACGGACCAGACUCCUACGGGAGGCAGCAGAAGGAAUAUUGGUCAAUGGACGCAAGUCUGAACCAGCCAUGCCGCGUGCAGGAAGACGGCCCUAUGGGUUGUAAACUGCUUUUAUACGGGAAUAAACCUUCUUUCGUGAGAGAGGCUGAA
rnacentral:rRNA from 1 species